rnacentral:rRNA from 1 species
GCUAAAUGACUAAAUCUAAACGUCUGCGCCCAAUCUCAUCUGCUCUCGGAAGCUAAGCAGGGUUGGGUCUGGUUAGUACUUGGAAUGGAGACCGCCUGGGAAUACCAGGUGCUGUAAGCU